UGACAAUGCUGAGGUGGUGUCUGCUAUCGGCCCUGUGGCAAGCCGUCAUAACAGACUAUUCCACCAUUAACAUGGGGGCCCACUGUGGCAGCCAGGUCUCCCUGGAGCAGGCGGGUUACAUCAGCUGGAGCUACGGCAACAACAUGGACUGUUACAUCAACCUGGUCGCACCUGGGGCUACCAGUCUCUUAUACAUGCAGGUAAGGGCACACCUGUUAUAUCAACCUGGUCGCACCUGGGGCUACCAGUCUCUUAUACCUACAGGUAAGGGACACCUGUUAUAUCAACCUAGUCGCACCUGGGGCUACCAGUCUCUUAUACCUACAGGUAAGGGACACCUGUUAUAUCAACCUGGUCGCACCUGGGGCUACCAGUCUCUUAUACCUACAGAUCCUGGAUAACCAUAUCGAGUCUGGCGGGUCGUCCUGCUACGAUCACCUGUACGUAUACGAGGGGAUCCACACCAGCUUCGCGGGAUCCGGGAUCCACGCCGACAUCUGCGGAUCCAGCGGGAUCACGGAGUACACGUCAUCGCUGGAUCACACCCUCACGCUGAGGCUGGUGUCUGAUGUCUCCACGUCGGGGUCCUUCAGCAUCCUGUACACAG